ensembl:misc_RNA
AUUAAGACAUUGGAAAUGGAAAUGCUAUGUUUAUCCACAGGACAUGUUCAGCACUGCCAACAGCUGUGCAACUUUUCCCAAACAAUGUUUUUCAAAGAUGACUUGAAAGGACCAUAAUUAGGGGCAGGAGAAUAGUUUAAUUUCCAUGCCCGUUCAAUCCUUGGCUUCU